CAAUAGCGUAUAUUAAAGUUGUUGCAGUUAAAAAGCUCGUAGUUGGAUUUCAAGAAACGCAUCCAGAAAUGGAUUGCUUUCUACCAGUCUUUGACUGUUACUGUGAGAAAAUUAGAGUGUUUCAAGCAGGCUUUGCAGGAAUACAUUAGCAUGGAAUAACGCGUGUGUCUACAAUUUGGUUGAUUGUAGAUUACGAUUAAUAGGGACAGUUGGGGGCAUUAGUAUUUAAUAGUCAGAGGUGAAAUUCUUGGAUUUGUUAAAGACUAACGUAUGCGAAAGCAUUUGCCAAGGAUGUUUUCAUUA
rnacentral:rRNA from 1 species